UACAGAGGGUGCAAGCGUUAAUCGGAUUUACUGGGCGUAAAGCGAGUGUAGGUGGUUUGCUAAGUCAGGUGUGAAAUCCCAGGGCUCAACCCUGGAACUGCAUUUGAUACUGGCAGGCUAGAGUGUGGUAGAGGAUAGUGGAAUUCCCGGUGUAGCGGUGAAAUGCGUAGAUAUCGGGAGGAACAUCAGUGGCGAAGGCGGCUAUCUGGACUAACACUGACACUGAGACUCGAAAGCGUGGGGAGCAAACAGG
rnacentral:rRNA from 1 species